rnacentral:rRNA from 1 species
UUUAUGGAGAGUUUGAUCCUGGCUCAGGAUGAACGCUGGCGGCGUGCCUAAUACAUGCAAGUCGAGCGAACAGACGAGGAGCUUGCUCCUCUGACGUUAGCGGCGGACGGGUGAGUAACACGUGGAUAACCUACCUAUAAGACUGGGAUAACUUCGGGAAACCGGAGCUAAUACCGGAUAAUAUAUUGAACCGCAUGGUUCAAUAGUGAAAGAC